rnacentral:other from 1 species
AAGCUCCUGAGUUGUUCGACAACCUAUUAUUUUGAACCUACAGAUGGAAAAUGGGAGUUCUAUUAUUGUGCAACCCACGUCAGGCCGCAUGCUAUAUUAUCGGCGGAAGGCGGGCGGUUGUUCUGCGGACACCCCCCUAGCGAGAGCUAGGUGUCAAAAUAUAGGACCGGCAUCUUGGGACUUU